rnacentral:rRNA from 1 species
AUGCACGCUGGCGGCGUGCCUAAUACAUGCAAGUCGAGCGAACAGACGAGGAGCUUGCUCCUCUGACGUUAGCGGCGGACGGGUGAGUAACACGUGGAUAACCUACCUAUAAGACUGGGAUAACUUCGGGAAACCGGAGCUAAUACCGGAUAAUAUAUUGAACCGCAUGGUUCAAUAGUGAAAGACGGUUUUGCUGUCACUUAUAGAUGGAUCCGCGCCGCAUUAGCUAGUUGGUAAGGUAACGGCUUACCAAGGCAACGAUGCGUAGCCGACCUGAGAGGGUGAUAGGCCACACUGGAACUGAGACACGGUCCAGACUCCUACGGGAGGCAGCAGUAGGGAAUCUUCCGCAAUGGGCGAAAGCUUGACGGAGCAACGCCGCGUGAGUGAUGAAGGUCUUCGGAUCGUAAAACUCUGUUAUUAGGGAAGAACAAAUGUGUAAGUAACUAUGCACGUCUUGACGGUACCUAAUCAGAAAGCCACGGCUAACUACGUG